GUAGGGGGCGAGCGUUGUCCGGAUUUAUUGGGCGUAAAGAGCUCGUAGGCGGCUCAGCAAGUCGGCCGUGAAAGCCUGAGGCUCAACCUCAGGACGCCGGUCGAAACUGCUGUGGCUAGGGUCCGGUAGAGGAGAGUGGAAUUCCCGGUGUAGCGGUGAAAUGCGCAGAUAUCGGGAGGAACACCAGUAGCGAAGGCGGCUCUCUGGGCCGGUACCGACGCUGAGGAGCGAAAGCUAGGGGAGCAAACAGGGAUUAGAUACCCUGGUAGUCCUAGCCGUAAACGUUGGGCACUAGGUGUGGCGGAGUCAUUGACAUCUGCCGUGCCGAAGCUAACGCAUUAAGUGCCCCCGCCUGGGAGUACGGUCGCAAGGCUA
rnacentral:rRNA from 1 species